GAGAUGUGGAAAUGAGCUUAUCGGCAGCAGUCAGAGAGAUCACAUAAUUUUGCUUUGUUCUUUGUCGGGUCCCUAUUUCAGCUUGUCCGGAUGCCCUCGUGCAAGGAAAGGUGGUGUCAAAAUGACCCCUACCAAGGAAGAAAAAGAAGACCCUGAACUGAAAUGUCCUGUGAUAGGGUGUGAUGGCCAAGGUCACAUAUCAGGUAAAUACACAUCACACCGCACAGCUUCUGGCUGUCCUCUGGCUGCCAAGAGACAGAAGGAGAACCCUCUCAAUGGAGCCUCCCUCUCCUGGAAACUGAACAAGCAAGAGCUACCACAUUGUCCCUUGCCAGGCUGCAAUGGGCUGGGCCAUGUAAAUAAUGUUUUUGUCACCCACCGAAGCUUAUCUGGAUGUCCUCUCAAUGCACAAGCUAUCAAAAAGGGCAAGGUUUCUGAAGAACUCAUGACCAUCAAGCUCAAAGCAACUGGGGGAAUAGAGAGUGAUGAAGAAAUUAGGCAUUUGGAUGAAGAAAUAAAGGAACUGAAUGAAUCCAACCUUAAAAUUGAAGCAGAUAUGAUGAAACUUCAGACCCAGAUCACCUCUAUGGAGAGCAAUUUAAAGACGAUAGAGGAGGAGAACAAACUCAUAGAACAGAACAAUGAAAGUCUGCUGAAAGAGCUGGCAGGUCUAAGCCAAGCUCUCAUUUCAAGCCUUGCCGACAUCCAGCUUCCACAGAUGGUAA
rnacentral:sRNA from 1 species